GGGCAGCAGCAAGGAAUAUUGUGCAAUGGGCGAAAGCCUGACACAGCGACGCCGCGUGGGGGAUGAAGGCCUUCGGGUUGUAAACCCCUUUUCUCAGGGAAGAAUAAUGACGGUACCUGAGGAAUAAGUCUUGGCUAACUACGUGCCAGCAGCCGCGGUAAUACGUAGAAGGCAAGCGUUAUCCGGAUUUAUUGGGCGUAAAGCGGGCGUAGGCGGCUUUUCAAGUCGGACGUAAAAUUUCCCGGCUCAACUGGGAGGGAUCGUUCGAUACUGUUGGGCUAGAGUGCAGCAGAGGGAGGUGGAAUUCCCGGUGUAGUGGUGAAAUGCGUAGAUAUCGGGAGGAACACCAGUGGCGAAGGCGGCCUCCUAGGCUGUUACUGACGCUGAGGCCCGAAGGCGUGGGGAGCGAACAGGAUUAGAUACCCGUGUAGUC
rnacentral:rRNA from 1 species